AAGGGAGUGCACAGGUAAAGGGGUGUAGGUAAGGGAGUGCACAGGUAAAGGGGUGUAGGUAAGGGAGUGCACAGGUAAAGGGGCAUAAAGGUAAAGGGGUGUAGGUAAGGGAUUUGGCGUUUAGACUCUACAGCCGGG